rnacentral:rRNA from 1 species
UGGUCAAGUUAUUAAGGGUGCAGGGCGGAUGCCUUGGCACUAGGAGCCGAUGAAGGACGUGAUAAGCUGCGAUAAGCUUCGGGGAGUUGCACGUAAACUUUGAUCCGAAGAUUUCCGAAUGAGGAAACUCACUUAGAGUAAUGUCUAAGUAUCAUUAAGUGAAUACAUAGCUUAAUGAGGGGAACUCAGGGAACUGAAACAUCUAAGUACCUGAAGGAAGAGAAAGAAAUUCGAUUCCGUAAGUAGCGGCGAGCGAACGCGGAUUAGCCCAAACCAAUAAAGUUUUCUUUGUUGGGGUUGCGGACAUAUCAUAACGAAGAGGUAUCGUAAUUGAAGAGGUUUGGAAAGACCCACCACAGAAGGUAAUAGUCCUGUAUGUUAAACGAGAAGACUUCAGAUAUGAUCCAGAGUACCACGGGACACGUGAAACCCUGUGGGAAGCAGGAGGGACCACCCUCCAAGGCUAAAUACUACCUAGUGACCGAUAGCGUAUAGUACCGUGAGGGAAAGGUGAAAAGAACCCCGGGAGGGGAGUGAAAUAGAACCUGAAACCCUGCACUUACAAGCUGUGGAAGCACAUUUCUUGUGUGACCGCGUACUUUUUGUAGAACGGGCCAACGAGUUACGUUAAGUAGCAAGGUUAAGCACUUAAGGUGCGGAGCCGUAGCGAAAGCGAGUUUUAACUGAGCGUUCAGUUACUUGACGUAGACCCGAAACCGGGCGACCUACCCAUGAGCAGGAUGAAGCGAAAGUAAAAUUUCGUGGAGGUCCGAACCCACGAGCGUUGAAAAGCUCGGGGAUGACUUGUGGGUAGCGGUGAAAUUCCAAUCGAGCCCGGAGAUAGCUGGUUCUCCCCGAAAUAGCUUUAGGGCUAGCCUCAAGGUGAGAGAUACGGAGGUAGAGCACUGAAUGUCCUAGGGGGUAUUGCACCUACCGAAGACUAUCAAACUCCGAAUGCCGUCAUCUUAUACUUGGGAGUCAGACUGUGGGUGAUAAGAUUCAUAGUCGAAAGGGCAACAGCCCAGAUCGUCAGCUAAGGUCCCUAAAUGUAAGUUAAGUGGUAAAGGAUGUGGGAUUGCACAGACAACCAGGAUGUUGGCUUAGAAGCAGCCACUCAUUCAAAGAGUGCGUAAUAGCUCACUGGUCGAGUGAUCCUGCGCCGAAGAUUUCCGGGGCUAAAACUUACUACCGAAGCUACGGCAUCAGUAAUGAUGGGUAGGGGAGCUUCCCAUACGGGUUGAAGCAUGACCGUAAGGACAUGUGGACAGUAUGGGAGUGAGAAUGUUGGCAUGAGUAGCGAGAUGUGGGUGAGAAUCCCACAGGCCGUAAACCCAAGGUUUCCAGGGGAAGGUUCGUCCGCCCUGGGUUAGUCGGGACCUAAGCUGAGGCCGAAAGGCGUAGGUGAUGGACAACAGGUUGAUAUUCCUGUACUACCGAUAACCGUUUGAGAGAAGGGAUGACACAGUAGGAUAAGCUAAGCACACUGUUGGUUAUGUGUGCCCAAGCAUUGAGGCAGUCAAAGCAGGCAAAUCCGCUUUGAUAAUGCUGGGAUGUGAUGGGGAGCGAAAUUUAGUAGCGAAGUAGCUGAUUUCACACUGUCAAGAAAAGUCUCUAUCGAGGUUAAAGGUACCCGUACCGCAAACCGACACAGGUGGGUGAGGAGAGUAUCCUAAGGCCAGCGAGAGAACUGUUGUUAAGGAACUCGGCAAAAUGACCCCGUAACUUAGGGAUAAGGGGUGCCACCAUCCGGUGGCCGCAGAGAAUAGGCCCAAGCGACUGUUUACCAAAAACAUAGGUUUCUGCUAAGUCGCAAGACGAUGUAUAGGAGCUGACGCCUGCCCGGUGCUGGAAGGUUAAGGGGAUCUGUUAGAGCAAUCGAAGCAGUGAACUUAAGCCCCAGUAAACGGCGGCCGUAACUAUAACGGUCCUAAGGUAGCGAAAUUCCUUGUCGGGUAAGUUCCGACCCGCACGAAAGGCGUAACGAUUUGGGCACUGUCUCAACAACAGACUCGGUGAAAUUGUAAUUCCGGUGAAGAUGCCGGAUACCUGCGACAGGACGGAAAGACCCCAUGGAGCUUUACUGUAGCUUGACAUUGGGUCUUGGUACUACAUGUACAGGAUAGGUGGGAGGCUUUGAAACCAGGACGCCAGUUUUGGCGGAGCCAUCCUUGGGAUACCACCCUUGUAGUACUGGGACUCUAACCAUAGGCCAUGAAUCUGGUCUUGGGACACUGUCAGGUGGGCAGUUUGACUGGGGCGGUCGCCUCCCAAAAGGUAACGGAGGCGCUCAAAGGUUCUCUCAGUACGGUCGGAAAUCGUACGUAGAGUGUAAAGGCAAAAGAGAGCUUGAUUGCAAGACAUACAGGUCGAGCAAGGAUGAAAAUCGGACUUAGUGAUCCGGUGGUUCUGCGUGGAAGGGCCAUCGCUCAACGGAUAAAAGCUACCCUGGGGAUAACAGGCUUAUCUCCCCCAAGAGUCCACAUCGACGGGGAGGUUUGGCACCUCGAUGUCGGCUCAUCACAUCCUGGGGCUGUAGUAGGUCCCAAGGGUUGGGCUGUUCGCCCAUUAAAGUGGUACGCGAGCUGGGUUCAGAACGUCGUGAGACAGUUCGGUCCCUAUCCGUCGCAGGCGUAGGAAAUUUGAGAAGACCUGUCCUUAGUACGAGAGGACCGGGAUGGACGUACCUCUGGUGUACCAGUUGU